rnacentral:rRNA from 1 species
UGGGGAAUAUUGCACAAUGGGCGCAAGCCUGAUGCAGCCAUGCCGCGUGUAUGAAGAAGGCCUUCGGGUUGUAAAGUACUUUCAGCGGGGAGGAAGGGAGUAAAGUUAAUACCUUUGCUCAUUGACGUUACCCGCAGAAGAAGUACCGGCUAACUCCGUGCCAGCAGCCGCGGUAAUACGGAGGGUGCAAGCGUUAAUCGGAAUUACUGGGCGUAAAGCGCACGCAGGCGGUUUGUUAAGUCAGAUGUGAAAUCCCCGGGCUCAACCUGGGAACUGCAGCUGAUACUGGCAAGCUUGAGUCUCGUAGAGGGGGGUAGAAUUCCAGGUGUAGCGGUGAAAUGCGUAGAGAUCUGGAGGAAUACCGGUGGCGAAGGCGGCCCCCUGGACGAAGACUGACGCUCAGGUGCGAAAGCGUGGGGAGCAAACAGG